CCUGGUAAAGCUCUUUUGCAUAGGCCCGUACUGUCAGUGCAGCAUCCCGCCCUUUUUUGGUGUGGGUGUCGGUUGCUGCCGCUCCUUAGUUAGUGAGGGAGUUAGUUCUGUAUUUCUCUGAGUGUCUCCAUUCACAGACUUUACAACCAACUGAGGGUGGAAGGAGACACAGGAAGAGGAGGAGCUUAAGAAUUCUUUAUUGUUUGUCCUGCCUCCAGAGAGGAGAACUUAACCCCAGUCGUCCUGCACUGACAGUACGGGCCUAUGCAAAAGAGCUUUAGCAGGUGAGACGUUGCUCAGAAGACAUAAGAAGAUACAAUGGGACGUUGGGUUCCUCUCCUUCUCUUGGUUCUAGUACCAGUAUUUGGCAGAGAGAGUAAUAAUCAGGGAACUCUAGCGGAUCUCAUGAGUCUCAGCACAAUGAUUAAGUCUAUGGCUGCAACCAUCACUUGCACCGAUGUAAAUAACAGAUCUGCCUACUCCUCCUGCCCCUCCGGUUACAGUGUCACUUCCUGUUCCUGUGGGAGGAGCUGUGGUUCGUGGGAGAUUCAGUCGGGGGUCACGUGUCACUGUCAGUGUGGGGGGAUGGAUUGGACGACCGCUCGUUGCUGCAAGAUCACCACAAAAUCCUGACAGUUCCAGACCCACAAGGGCAAAUAGACCGUCAGGCUGAACAAUUCUCUGUAUCGCUGAUUUUUCUUUUAUCAUAUUGGCAAAUAAAAUAAAGUGUGAGCAGGAA